rnacentral:rRNA from 1 species
UUUUUAUAGAAAUUAUUAUAAGUAAUAUCUGCUCAAUGUAAAUAAAUAGCCGCAAAUAUAAUGUGAUAAGGUAGCAUAAUCACUUGCCUUUUAAUUAAAGGGUAGAAUGAAUGAUUUAACAAUUUAUUAAUUUUUUUAAUAAUUUUAAUUUAAAUUAUAUUAAAUAUAAAAAUAUAUUUAUAAAUAAAUAAGACGACAAGACCCUAUUAAACUUUACUUAAGUUUAACUGGGGAAGUUAUUUAAAAAUUAUUUUGAAUAAAAAUACAAAAUACCCAUUACAAUAGAAUAAAUCAAGUUACUAUAGGGAUAACAGCGUAAUAGAAUUUUAAAGCUCACAUUAAAAAAAAAAGAUUGCGA